GAUGAAGAACGUAGCGAAAUGCGAUACGUAAUGUGAAUUGUAGAAUUCAGUGAAUCAUCGAAUCUUUGAACGCACAUUGCGCCUGCCAGCACUCUGGCAGGCAUGCCUGUUCGAGCGUCAUUUCAACCAUCAAGCCCUAGGCUUGCGUUGGAGCCCUGCGGCUGCCGCAGGCCCCUAAAAGCAGUGGCGGGCUCGCUAUCACACCGAGUGCAGUAGAUUACUCUUCGCUCAGGGCGUGUGGCGGGUUCCAGCCGUGAAACCCCCUACUUCUCAAGGUUGACCUCGGAUCAGGUAGGAAUACCCGCUGAACUUAAGCAUAUCAAUAAGCGGAGGA
rnacentral:misc_RNA from 1 species